UACGUAGACCACAAGCGUUAUCCGGAUUUAUUGGGCGUAAAGCGUGUGUAGGAUGUCUCGUGCGUUUCUGGUUAAAGCCCACUGCCUAACGGUGGAACUGCCGGGAAUACGGCGAGACUGGAGGAGGUGAGAGGUGCAUGGAACUCACGGUGUAGGGGUGAAAUCCGUUGAUAUCGUGGGGAACACCAAAGGCGAAGGCAGUGCACUGGUACCUUCCUGACUCUGAGACACGAAAGCGUGGGGAGCAAAAAGG
rnacentral:rRNA from 1 species